rnacentral:lncRNA from 1 species
CUAGAGACUAAGUUGUCAAGGCGGGGCUGAAUGUAACGGUCAUCCAAAUAAUUAAGUGAGAGCAACAUUUCUUGUGCAUACUUCUUUUGUCUUGUUCCAUCAUACAGUGAGCUCAGAAAAGUGUCAUCAAUUGCAUUUAUGAGGAAAGCCUUCACUAUUCUUUGGAAAUGUUCAUAAGGACUACUGUGGCAAACAUCCUCCGUCAGUUCUCCACCGCGGCUCUUCUCCUCCCGGUCGGAAAGGCUGC